AACACAUGCAAGUCGAACGAGAAAUUUUUCCUUCGGGGAAAAGAGUGAAGUGGCGCACGGGUGAGUAACGCGUAGAUAAUCUACCCUGGUGUUUGGGGUAACACCGCGAAAGCGNCUUAAUACCGGAUACGCUCCUUCGGGAGGAAAGGUGGCCUCUGAUUUAAGCUAUCGCAUUAGGAUGAGUCUGCGUACCAUUAGCUAGUUGGUAGGGUAAUGGCCUACCAAGGCAACGAUGGUUAGCGGGUCUGAGAGGAUGAUCCGCCACACUGGAACUGGAACACGGACCAGACUCCUACGGGAGGCAGCAGUUAGGAAUUUUGCGCAAUGGGGGAAACCCUGACGCAGCGACGCCGCGUGGGUGAUGAAGGCUUUCGAGUCGUAAAGCCCUGUCAAGUGGGAAGAAGUGUGUAUGUGCUAAUAUCACAUACAUUUGACGGUACCACUAAAGGAAGCACCGGCUAACUCCGUGCCAGCAGCCGCGGUAAUACGGAGGGUGCGAGCGUUGUUCGGAAUUACUGGGCGUAAAGGGCGCGUAGGCGGCGUAACAAGUCAGGUGUGAAAGUCCAGGGCUUAACUCUGGGAAGUGCAUCUGAAACUGUUAUGCCUUGAGUUCGGAGAGGAAAGUGGAAUUCCCGGUGUAGAGGUGAAAUUCGUAGAGAUCGGGAGGAACACCUGAUGCGAAGGCGACUUUCUGGACGAAUACUGACGCUGAGGCGCGAAACUGGGGGGCNAACAGGAUUAGAUACCCNG
rnacentral:rRNA from 1 species